UUCAUCAGAGAGAGAUGGAAACAUGAGACAGAAAGAGAGACAAAGCAAAGGAUGGGGGAAGGUACCCCCCCACACACACAGAGCAUCAUCAUACCCAAUCUUUUCUCUUCCAUAUUUUCCUCCUGUCAGGAAUUGGGGCAAGUAUGAGCCUGGUAUGCCUUUUAAGUCACUAGAGCCAGGAUUUGAACCAUGCAAUCGGCAUUUUGGGAUCCAGCUCCCUUUACCACUAGACCAUGAGGGUGGCCUAUUUUUGAACAUAUUACUAAGAAUUCUUCCAGCUGCAAGUCAGUGACAUCUGAUUCAAAUGCAGUGACAUCUGACUCAAACUGACUUAGGAAAAGCAACAUUAGCAUCUCAUGUGCACAAAAAGAUCAGGGUCUUCCUUGAUCCAAAUGUGAUGCCAUAUCCUCAGGGAUCUCUUUCCACCCCUUUGCUCUUCUCUUCCAUAUGUUAGCUGCAUCCUCAUGCAGGCUCCUCUACCUCAGUGGCCAAAGUGACUGGAAUCUCAGCAGAAAAUGGAAGUGUCUGUAGGUGCUCCAGCACUAGUCUUCGGCUCAGUGCUGUUUGUCACUGUUUACCUUGAUGGCCUAGCUUAGCUUAUGUGUUCAUCCAUGAGCUAAACACAUGGUCAGCAGACAACAGAAUAGUUACUGGCCAGACCUUCGACUAGACACUGUUCUGCAGCCCAGAGAUGGGUGGGCUGUACCAAAAACACAGAGGUGUAGAGGCGCAAAGAGCCAUGGUGAAAAUUCAGGGCACUGUGAUGAGACGAGAGAAUGGAUCUCGUGCAGACAGAACUGAGAGAUGCCUUCUACACUGAGUGCUAAAGAUUUCCCGCAGGGAACCAGAGAACCAGCUGUCUAGGUUACCAGGUUGGGCAAUAUCUAAGAUGUGAAGGAGAAAAAAAACUAAAAAAUUCCAUCUAUUUAGUAGAAUCAAAUGUGUUCUAGCCACAGGGUAGACAUUCUCAAUACUUAACUUGGAAGUAACUUAUUACUGGCUUUAUUUUGCCAGGUGAAAUUAUUUAGGAUUAGAGCAAUUAAGUAAUUUUCCCAAAGUCACAUAAAUAGUAAUACGUUUGAACCUAGAUUUGAAUUAAAACUUUAUUAUUUGCAUUACAUCAACAAUUAAGAAGCAAAAAGACAUUUUGAAUGCAUGCGGUUAUGGAGUAGAUAGGACACUAUAUUUUUAUAGUUUACAUGAAGUAAUUUAGUCUUCUAAUUAAGUAGUAAUUUAAUAUCCUAUAGAUUUGUACCUGACUUAAAUACCCUCAGGAGAGUAAAAAAAAACCCUGCGGUUUCUGAAGGAACAUUUCCCUGACUGUUUAAUGGGUUCUGUGGCAAAUUAGCACAUAGUUAAUGCCAGCAAUGAUACAAACCGAAAGGAGCCUAAUUUAGUGAUUCAAAACAGGAGCUUUCGAGACAGGUGGACUUUGAGGCUCUGGGAUCCACACCAUAGGCCUGGACUUAGCCCGAAGCAUCCACCCCCACACCAGCAAAAUAGGGACAAUGCCAGCUGGAGUGGCAGGCAAGGACUGAGUACGAGAAUGCAUUCAAAGCUCACUGUGCAGGGUGAGAACUCACUUAAGUGCGGACCUACCUACCUACAGACUGCAGGACCUGGAUCAGUCGCCUGUUUAAAGAGAUGAAAUGAGAUAGCCCCAGCUCUGGAAAGGCAGGCACCCUGACAUCAUUGAGAGAUGAGAAGGAAAAGACUCACUGGUUACAGUAGAGUACUGGAGACACCAUCACUCUGCUACAUGGUGAAAAUUGUUGGCUUCAUUAAGUGGAAAGAGCAUCUAUAUUACAGAAUUUGGAGCUGAAAAGGCUACUAAAGACACAGAUGAGGGGUGAUCUGGACAUGUAGAGGAUGGCCUCAGUAGACCUAGAGGCAGCCAAAGAGACUGCAGUUCAGUGCUUCAAGGCCUUCUGUGGAGUUUCCCACAAGCUGGCCCAUGUGUUCUACCUUCAACACCAAACCAAAUCAAAGGCUAUCCUUUUUCCAGGUCUCCAUGGAUAAAUCAUUGCUUCGAUUGUCUCAGUUCCCUGCAUGCUGGUGCGUAAAGUCAUUGACACCUGCUACGUCCUGAAAAGAUUUUCUUCUAUGUGUCUUAUGCAUUAACAUUUGGACAGAAGACUUAAACUACAGAAAGUCUGGAAACCACCGGAACCAGUUUUCUGCCCAAAUGAGGCAUUACCUUUCCACGGAGUCCUGAAUGGAUGGGAUUCUUCUGUUGCAUGUGGCAUUGCUUGAGAUGAGGAAAUGGAGAUGCAAUGAAGUAAAAUCACUUGCUGAAGGCCCCUGUACUUGAGUCCUCAACGGUGAACUAGUUAUUCUUUGUUACUCUCCUCUGAGUUUAUUCAAAUUAGUAAAAGUCCUUCCUAAAACAUCAAGUUUUGCCUUUAUUAAACUAAUGGAGAUGGGAGAAGUUUGGACAAGCACAAUGAGAUAACAAUUUAAAAAUUAUUUUAUACUUGAUUUUGAGAUGUGUUUUUGUACUUCCAUUUGA